AUUGAACGCUGGCGGCAUGCCUUACACAUGCAAGUCGAACGGUAACGCGGGGCAACCUGGCGACGAGUGGCGAACGGGUGAGUAAUACAUCGGAACGUGCCCAGUAGUGGGGAUAGCCCGGCGAAAGCCGGAUUAAUACCGCAUACGACCUACGGGUGAAAGCGGGGGAUCGCAAGACCUCGCGCUAUUGGAGCGGCCGGUGUCAGAUUAGCUAGUUGGUGGGGUAAAGGCCUACCAAGGCGACGAUCUGUAGCUGGUCUGAGAGGACGACCAGCCACACUGGGACUGAGACACGGCCCAGACUCCUACGGGAGGCAGCAGUGGGGAAUUUUGGACAAUGGGGGCAACCCUGAUCCAGCCAUGCCGCGUGCGGGAAGAAGGCCUUCGGGUUGUAAACCGCUUUUGUCGGGGAAGAAACGGUCUGCGCUAAUACCGCGGGCUAAUGACGGUACCCGAAGAAUAAGCACCGGCUAACUACGUGCCAGCCGCCGCCGUAACAC
rnacentral:rRNA from 1 species